rnacentral:rRNA from 1 species
UCGAGCGAGCGGAACUACAGUUUUACUUCGGUAAUGACGUUAGGAAAGCGAGCGGCGGAUGGGUGAGUAACACGUGGGGAACCUGCCCCAUAGUCUGGGAUACCACUUGGAAACAGGUGCUAAUACCGGAUAAGAAAGCAGAUCGCAUGAUCAGCUUUUAAAAGGCGGCGUAAGCUGUCGCUAUGGGAUGGCCCCGCGGUGCAUUAGCUAGUUGGUAAGGUAAAGGCUUACCAAGGCGAUGAUGCAUAGCCGAGUUGAGAGACUGAUCGGCCACAUUGGGACUGAGACACGGCCCAAACUCCUACGGGAGGCAGCAGUAGGGAAUCUUCCACAAUGGACGCAAGUCUGAUGGAGCAACGCCGCGUGAGUGAAGAAGGUUUUCGGAUCGUAAAGCUCUGUUGUUGGUGAAGAAGGAUAGAGGUAGUAACUGGCCUUUAUUUGACGGUAAUCAACCAGAAAGUCACGGCUAACUACGUGCCAGCAGCCGCGGUAAUACGUAGGUGGCAAGCGUUGUCCGGAUUUAUUGGGCGUAAAGCGAGCGCAGGCGGAAGAAUAAGUCUGAUGUGAAAGCCCUCGGCUUAACCGAGGAGCUGCAUCGGAAACUGUUUUUCUUGAGUGCAGAAGAGGAGAGUGGAACUCCAUGUGUAGCGGUGGAAUGCGUAGAUAUAUGGAAGAACACCAGUGGCGAAGGCGGCUCUCUGGUCUGCAACUGACGCUGAGGCUCGAAAGCAUGGGUAGCGAACAGGAUUAGAUACCCUGGUAGUCCAUGCCGUAAACGAUGAGUGCUAAGUGUUGGGAGGUUUCCGCCUCUCAGUGCUGCAGCUAACGCAUUAAGCACUCCGCCUGGGGAG